rnacentral:ncRNA from 1 species
CCACGUCCCGACGCACUCCCCCCGGCGCCGGGACUCUCCCGAGCCGGGCUCGGUGCCCCUCCCCCCCGGGGCGCCGCAGCCCGGCUCCAUC